rnacentral:rRNA from 1 species
UACGAAGGGGGCUAGCGUUGCUCGGAAUUACUGGGCGUAAAGGGCGCGUAGGCGGACAGCUUAGUCAGAGGUGAAAGCCCAGGGCUCAACCUUGGAAUUGCCUUUGAUACUGGCUGUCUUGAGUACGGGAGAGGUGAGUGGAACUCCGAGUGUAGAGGUGAAAUUCGUAGAUAUUCGGAAGAACACCAGUGGCGAAGGCGACUCACUGGCCCAAUACUGACGCUGAGGCGCGAAAGCGUGGGGAGCAAACAGGAUUAGAAACCCCCGUAGUCC